rnacentral:rRNA from 1 species
GACGAACGCUGGCGGCGUGCUUAACACAUGCAAGUCGAACGGAAAGGCCCUGCUUUUGUGGGGUGCUCGAGUGGCGAACGGGUGAGUAACACGUGAGUAACCUGCCCUUGACUUUGGGAUAACUUCAGGAAACUGGGGCUAAUACCGGAUAGGAGCUCCUGCUGCAUGGUGGGGGUUGGAAAGUUUCGGCGGUUGGGGAUGGACUCGCGGCUUAUCAGCUUGUUGGUGGGGUAGUGGCUUACCAAGGCUUUGACGGGUAGCCGGCCUGAGAGGGUGACCGGCAACAUUGGGACUAGGAUACGGCCCAGACUCCUACGGGAGGCAGCAGUGGGAAAUAUUGCACAAUGGGCGGAAGCCUGAUGCAGCAACGCCGCGUGCGGGAUGACGGCCUUCGGGUUGUAAACCGCUUUCGCCUGUGACGAAGCGUGGGUGACGGUAAUGGGUAAAGAAGCACCGGCUAACUACGU